rnacentral:rRNA from 1 species
UGGGGAAUAUUGCGCAAUGGGCGAAAGCCUGACGCAGCGACGCCGCGUGGGGGAUGACGGCCUUCGGGUUGUAAACCUCUUUCAGCAGGGACGAAGUUGACGUGUACCUGUAGAAGAAGCGCCGGCUAACUACGUGCCAGCAGCCGCGGUAAUACGUAGGGCGCGAGCGUUGUCCGGAAUUAUUGGGCGUAAAGAGCUCGUAGGUGGCUUGUUGCGUCUGCCGUGAAAGCCCGUGGCUUAACUACGGGUCUGCGGUGGAUACGGGCAGGCUAGAGGCUGGUAGGGGCAAGCGGAAUUCCUGGUGUAGCGGUGAAAUGCGCAGAUAUCAGGAGGAACACCGGUGGCGAAGGCGGCUUGCUGGGCCAGUUCUGACGCUGAGGAGCGAAAGCGUGGGGAGCGAACA